rnacentral:rRNA from 1 species
GGUGCAGACGGUUUUUCAAGUCGGGUGUAAAAUCUCCCAGCUUAACUGGGAGGGACCGCUCGAUACUGUGAGGCUAGAGGACAGCAGGGGGAGGUAGAAUUCUCGGUGUAGUGGUGGAAUGCGUAGAUAUCGAGAGGAAUACCAGUGGCGAAGGCGGCCUCCUGGGCUGUUUCUGACGUUCAGACCCGAAGGUGUGGGGAGCAAACA